UAGUGGACUAGUUGGCCGUGGGUUCUGAAUUUGAAACUUUUUUGAAAAUGGUAUUGGGGAGUUGCCAGAGUUUAUCAUCGCUAUCUUUUCCUUCAGACGGUAAUUCAAUAAGGCACGUGCUAUUGUGAUUUGUUCUAUCUCAUCAAUGUUCUCUGGUUCAGAUGAAGAACUUGCAUCUUCCUUUGCCACUGGCCAUAAAGAACACACACAUUUACACUUUAACCAUAAGUGGCAUUAACAGAGAUGCAAUGCUAACAACUCAGAGACAAGUUUACCAACAUUUAUGGCUUGGCAUAGAGUGCCAAAGGCAGGACAAGUCACUAUUUAUUUCCAGAAGACAAUCUUCCUCCGGAUAUACUAACAUAUGCAUAUUAAAUAAAAUAAGGAAAAAUCAUCUAAAAUAUUUGAACAGAAGGUUGCUUGUGAAGAAUUUUCAAAAUUAUAAUUCAGGGCACCAAGGCAGGGCAAUGUUACAUGCAUGUCCAAGUCAGAUGGAACUCUCAUUGGUGGCAUUUCCUUUCUUUUCUUAUUGUGAAAUAUUAAAUCUUUCUUAGGACAUCAAUAAAGGUUUGUUGAACAUCCUCCAAUUGGAGAAGAUAUCGCUACUUAAUAUCUAUUUAUAUACAUACAUACAAAAUGAAAAUUUUGACAGGGACUUACAUUGCUUUAAAGAUGACCAAGCUGCCAUUGCUGCAUUCUUCUCAGCUUGUUUCUUAUUCUUGGCAGGUUCUCCGGUGAAUGUAAUUCCAGCCAACUCGACUGUCCCUGUAAAAACAGGCUGAUGCCCC
rnacentral:lncRNA from 1 species